ACGGGAGGCAGCAGUGGGGAAUAUUGCGCAAUGGGGGGAACCCUGACGCAGCAACGCCGCGUGAAGGAAGAAGGCCUUCGGGUUGUAAACUUUUGUCUUAAGGGAAAAAAGUGAUGGUACCUUAGGAGGAAGCCACGGCUAACUACGUGCCAGCAGCCGCGGUAAUACGUAGGUGGCAAGCGUUAUCCGGAUUUACUGGGUGUAAAGGGUGCGUAGGCGGGACUGUAAGUCAGAUGUGAAAUAAAUGGGCUUAACCCAUAGGGUGCAUUUGAAACUGCGGAUCUUGAGUGUCGGAGAGGUAAGCGGAAUUCCCGGUGUAGCGGUGAAAUGCGUAGAUAUCGGGAGGAACAUCGGUGGCGAAGGCGGCUUACUGGACGAUAACUGACGCUGAGGCACGAAAGUGUGGGGAGCAAACAGGAUUAGAUACCCUGGUA
rnacentral:rRNA from 1 species